ACUGUAGCUAAAAGACCACCUAUUGCGGCUCAACACGUGUCUUGCUUGCCUGACGUUUUUUUUAUUUUAUCUAUUACUUUUGAUUUGGGCCGUUCAACAAAUCAAGCUCAAAUCUCACAACCCUACAUUCUCUCUCUUCUCCAACGCGAUAGCUUCCCUGUUCUGCCUUCAUCGUCCUCGGAAUCCAUGGUUGUGUCGUCCCCUUUCCUUUUCUAUGACCCUUCCCCAUUCAAAUUCGUCAUUUUCCCCCGAUUUCUCGCUUCCCUCAUUGUAUCAAUGUCACUGAUUUCCCUGGUGCCAUCUGUUUUCGACGUCACUGAUCAUAGAAGAAUUACUUCCACGAUCUUCGGCGCCUUCACAUGGCUUCUCCGCCAUUGGCCAUCACGUCGCCCCGUCAACCAUUACGUAGGGCAUGAAACUUCUUCCAACUGGUCUGAAGAGUUCCCUUGCUAUAUUUUUAUAUUCAUCUGCUGUUGGUUUCGGUGGUUUUCUCCUCUGUUAUGUUCCUGACUUAAUUUGUUCAGUAUUUUGGAGCUAGGAAUUGAUCAAGACAUGUAUAAUCAUGUAUUUAGACAUCUAUGCUGCUUGGAACAGAGGAGGCUAAAAGCUUCCGUGACAAAAACAUCUUCAUACUUCUGGUUCCAAAUAAAACUGCUAUACUGAAAACUCAAGAACCACCCAAGAAAAAAGACAAGUCAGCAGCAGAUGAAGUCUCUGUCAGUGUCCAAACAUAACUGAAAACUUCCAUGCGAGGUUCUAACUAUCGAAUGGAUGAAUUGUAACUUAUAUUGGAGAAAGAAGAAAAGUUGGAUGGUGAUGCUGCUUUGAAUAAAUUGUUUCGUGAUAUUUAUCAAAAUGCAGAUGAGGACAUGCGAAGAGCAAUGAGCAAGUCAUUUCUGGAGUCAAAUGGAACAGUGUUGUCAACGGAUU